rnacentral:sRNA from 1 species
GCUGGGCAUGGUGGUGUGUGCCUGUAAUCCCAGCUACUCGGGAAGCUGAGGCAGGAGGAUCACUGGAACCCAGGAGGUGGAAGUUGCAGUGAGCCGAGAUCAUGCCACUGCACUCCAGCCUGGGUGACAGAGUGAGACUCUGUCUUAA